rnacentral:rRNA from 1 species
UACAGAGGUGGCAAGCGUUGUUCGGAAUUACUGGGCGUAAAGGGCGCGUAGGCGGCCCUCUCAGUCAGACGUGAAAUCCCCGAGCUCAACUCGGGAACUGCGUCCGAUACUGGCGGGCUUGAAUCCGGGAGAGGGAUGCGGAAUUCCAGGUGUAGCGGUGAAAUGCGUAGAUAUCAGGAGGAACACCAAUGGCGAAGGCAGAUCUCUGGGCCGUAACUGACGCUGAGGAGCGAAAGCAUGGGGAGCGAACAGG